AAACACCUUUCCUGCGAGCGCCGGGGGUGCGGGGCUUUCGGCGAGCUCCUUGCAGCUGUGGAGCUGUGAAAUGAAAUGGGAAAAAGACGUCCUCUGGGAGCGGGAUUCCGAGGCUGCCCUCAGAGUCAGCAAGAUUGGAAAAUAUGUCUGAAGUGUUGUGGGACUCAUCACUUCAUCAGAUCAUUUUCUCCAGUACUAAUAAGGAGUACAGAAUGCCCACAGGAGUAGAGAAUGUAGAUUAACUGAAGAUAGCCAUUAUGAUGAUUGGCUAAAUUACUUUUGAUAUACCAACAUCCCACACCAGGAUGGCAUCCAAACCUGCUUUACAUAUCUACAGG